AUUGAACGCUGGCGGCAUGCUUUACACAUGCAAGUCGAACGGCAGCGCGGGCUUCGGCCUGGCGGCGAGUGGCGAACGGGUGAGUAAUACAUCGGAACGUGCCCAGUAGUGGGGGAUAGCUCGGCGAAAGCCGGAUUAAUACCGCAUACGACCUGAGGGUGAAAGCGGGGGAUCUUCGGACCUCGCGCUAUUGGAGCGGCCGAUGGCAGAUUAGCUAGUUGGUGGGGUAAAGGCCUACCAAGGCGACGAUCUGUAGCUGGUCUGAGAGGACGACCAGCCACACUGGGACUGAGACACGGCCCAGACUCCUACGGGAGGCAGCAGUGGGGAAUUUUGGACAAUGGGCGAAAGCCUGAUCCAGCAAUGCCGCGUGUGUGAUGAAGGCCUUCGGGUUGUAAAGCACUUUUGGCGGGAGCGAAAAGGACUGUGCCAAUACCACGGUUCGAUGACGGUACCCGCGGAAUAAGCACCGGCUAACUACGUG
rnacentral:rRNA from 1 species